AACAUUCGAAUAUAAGACCCUAUGGAGGCUAUUCCUAUUCAAGCCACCACUGUGGUCAUUAUUCACUGUUGUCUUAGCCUUUGUUCUGUGCUGUGGAGGGAUACCAUGAUCAAAGCAACUCUUAUAAAGAAAGCAUUUAAUCGGGGAGUUGCUUACAGUUUCAGCUCUUAGGCCGUUAUCAUCAUGCCAGGGAGAAUGGUGACAGGAAAGCAUGGUGCUGGAGAAGUAGCUGAGAGAGAAGUAGAGAUGACACUGGGCCCUGACUUGGGCUUUUGAAACUUUUUUUUUUUUUUUUUUGACAAAGUCCCUCCAACAAGGCCACACCUCCAGAUCCUUGUAGUCCUUUCAAAUAACGCCACUUCCUGAUGAUAGGAACCUAUGGGGGGCCAUUCUUACUCAAACCACCACAAGUUUUAUGUUUGAAUCAUCUCAAGUUUGACUUGUGGGGUCUGCUUUGAGCUGGUGCCUGUGUGUUCUUACCUGUCUCCAACAACCCCGAACACUUCCUUGCUUUCUGUUACAAGAUAUUCCAGACUCAUCUUCACUCUCUUAAAGGAGGAAUAAAAGGGGGGCUCAGAGAGAAAAUGCUAGGCCUAUUCACAAUAUUGGAGGAGGGGGAAGGUUCAGAAAUUGUGUAUUUAAAAUCACAUGUUCUCAAGGAAGUAACUUGUGUUGCACAAGGAUAUUCUCAAGAUGUGUGGGAUGGAUCCUAAAGCCAGACGGCCUUAGCUGACUGACUGCACAUGAAGCUGUUGGUUAAUGGGCACAUCUGGAUAAUUACUUUGAACUUAGGUAAUUAGCUCCGUGUCUCGAGGAUAUUGUGUUCAUUGAGGAAGUUGUAAUGUGGAGAGAAGACUGGGUUUUAGAAGCAGGAAGGACCCGGCUUCCCUUACACACUGGAGCAGACUUUCCCUUGUGUCUGGGUAAUUCACUUUUCCUGGAUGAGCCCCAGCCUUCCAACCAUGAAAUGGGAAGAUCAUAUGCACCUCAUAAAUUUAAAUGGAGUCAUUUAAAGGCAGUGCUUAUGUAGUAGUUGUCGCAUAUUAAACACCCAAUAAAUGAAAGCUACCUUUACCGAGAGUGCCUCUGUUAACAUUGAAAUCCUAGAGGGUUGAAGUGUGUAGCUCCACCAUGAGACUUACCAAGUGUGAGUGGAGGUCUGUGGAUCUCUUCUAAUUAUUAUGGAAAUGCACAUGUGCUGGUGUGGGGGCUGGGGCCUGGGCUUCGGGUGUUCUCUCCAGUGCUGCACACAGGAUCAGCGACCAGGGGUAACUUAGAGAUCGUGUGCCUUUGCGGGGCCGAGAAGUGUGCAUGGAAAUCACAACUUCUCAGUGCUUUCAUUAGGAUUAGCAUGUGUGAGACCCUGGGUUCAUGACCUAGAAACCCAAAAUUUAAAAAACCCUGAGAAAACUCUGUGAUUCUAAGACUUGGGUGGCAAAAAGGUAGAAGAUUUGGACUUGGAAGGCUGCUGUCCAGCUUCAGGGACUUGAACAAGUCCUUGCCACAGUCAGGAACUGUAUGUUUUUGGUUUUGGUUAUCUUUACUUGUGUAUGUUAAGACUUCUUAUCCCUCUUAGGAGCACAUCCCACAGGUCCUUGUGCUCACAGAUGUCCAGGGAAAACAGGACGGUUAAGCGCACUGGAUUGUCUUUCCAAUGGGGAAGAUGUAAAACAAAACAAAGCAAAACAAGGUUAAAACAAACCUGUUCUUCUAUCCUAAGCUGGAAAAUUGGAAGUGAUUAAUAGCCUGGCAUUCUGCGAUCUCCGUUAUCUCUUGGGCCAGGCCACAUCAAGUUUCCAUAGCCAGGUCUGGAGGUGGCUAGUAACCUAGAUGACCCUUACCACCAGUAGGUCCCACAAGUAGGACUGGAGAUAACUAAGAGUCUAAAUGGCCGUUAAAUUAUCUGUAUAGCUACAAGCUCCCCCAAGCUCCGCCAAGCAGGACCAGAGGUGAGUAAUUGCCCAAAUGACCUCUCCGCUAUCUGUAUGAUGAAGACCAAGCCAGACUUUUCCUUAGGCCCUCAAGCUAGCACAGGUAGUCUAUCUUUGGAACCCAUCUUCUUGGAAGAAAUGACAUGUACCCUGAGGCGAAUUUCUUAUGCACGGGGGAUUGUAUUACACCAGAAAACUUCUUUUCCAAAUUGUACUGUGUUUUAAACUUGCUGAUAACGAACUGCCUGGCAUCAGACUCCUCACGGUCGUGAUCCAGGUUGAUGACGCGUCAGUCUGAACGGUUUUCAUGCUCACUGCUUUGCGCAUGCUCACUUCUUUGCCGCUUACUUCCUUGCCUGCCCCGACCACCUGAAGGGUCUUCUACAGAUCCCUCCUCUGCAAAUAUGUUGCAUCUCCGCUGAAUGCCGGGGACUUCCAUUCCCGUUGCUACGGAUAAAGGGCAAGCAUGAUCACACUCCUCCUCAACACAGGACCUAUCAGCAGUCCAUGAGAAGGCAAAUCAGGAGUCUGCUGCUCUAGCUUUCCCGACCUCCAUGCUUCUCCCGGGAGAUGGGCGUGUUGUUUAGGAACAAGACUCCAACAUUGCUCUGUUUUAUUUGUGAUCCCUGGACACCCUCCACCCCCCAAUAAAAGAACUCAAGGUCUUACCGAGGCCACAGGAAGAGCAUCAGAGAACUGGAGGCAUCCUUGCAGAAGCCAUCUUUGAUGUCCAGGUCAGUCAGACCUCCAAACCCAGCUGACACUGGACUGCAACCUCAUCAGAGAUUCAAGGCUAGAACCACCCAGUCCCAUCCCGUCCCCCCCACCCCCUGCCCCCAGCCAACCCAUCAGGCAAAGCGGCUGCUAAACCAUAAAGUUUGGGGGAAGAUCAUUACAUAAUAAUAGGUUAACAAAAGAAGCCCCAUACUGGAGACCCAGAGUUCUAGGGUAGCUGAUUCACUUGGCAGGUGGGUCUGGCCUGUUCUACCCCUUGGUUCCUGAACCAACUGCACAGCCAAAGAUUCGGUUUGGCUAAAUCGAACAACAGAAAACUCCAGACAGCAGAGCUUUAAACACGCCAGACGUUUCUUUCUCUCAAAGAAGUCCGGGUGAGCUGUCCAGGCUGGAACACUGGUCCAGCAUUCGAAGGACACUGUACAUGAUGUUGGCCUUGUGGAUCAAAAUGACACUUCAGGCAGCAGGGUGGAGGAAGGUUAUGAAGAAAACUAAAGAUGCUUUCUCCUGAGAUUGUUUAAAGCCGCCCUGUGUCACAGGGCUACAUUCCACUGGCCUGGGUGUCUCUCAUCAUGUCUACUUGAAACAGACCCUGCAAAAUGCUUGCUGUAGAUCCUGCCACUUGGUUAUGUGCACAUGAAGCAGGUCCUUGCAGAGACCAGAAGAAGGCAUCAAAGGAGCUGGAGUUACCCACAGUGGGAGCUGGGGGCAGAAACGCAGGUUCUGUUCAUAAGCAGUGAGGAUCCAGGAAUGAUGCCGAGCUUCAAGGAGUCCAGAAAAGAAAGGGGAUGGGACACUGUGUUGGCUGGUCUCAUGUCAACUUGACAUAGCUAAAGUUAUCUGAUAGGAGGGAACC